rnacentral:rRNA from 1 species
CCUACGGGAGGCAGCAGUAGGGAAUCUUCCACAAUGGGCGAAAGCCUGAUGGAGCAACGCCGCGUGGGUGAAGAAGGUCUUCGGAUCGUAAAACUCUGUUGUUAGAGAAGAAAGUGCGUGAGAGUAACUGUUCACGUUUCGACGGUAUCUAACCAGAAAGCCACGGCUAACUACGUGCCAGCAGCCGCGGUAAUACGUAGGUGGCAAGCGUUAUCCGGAUUUAUUGGGCGUAAAGGGAACGCAGGCGGGCUUUUAAGUCUGAAGUGAAAGCCUUGGGCUUAACCGGCGUACUGCAUGGGAAACUGGGAGACUUGAGUGCAGAAGAGGAGAGUGGAACUCCAUGUGUAGCGGUGAAAUGCGUAGAUAUAUGGAAGAACACCAGUGGCGAAAGCGGCUCUCUGGUCUGUAACUGACGCUGAGGUGCGAAAGCGUGGGUAGCAAACAGGAUUAGAUACCCUUGUAGUC